rnacentral:lncRNA from 1 species
GAUCAAUAGUCUCCUAAGAUGAACAAUGGAUUAAAACUGAGACCAAAGAUGCCUAAUACAAUAGUAAAAGGUCCUAUUUAUAAUAAACUAGCUACUAGGGUUUACAUGAGUAAGUAAUUGAUGUAUAAAUCCACUUCCUGGGCCCACUUGGUGUGUGUUUGGGCUGAGCCUGAGUGUUGCACGUGCAGAGGCCAUUUGUGGAGUUGAACGCCAGUUUCUGUGCCAGUUUGGGCGUUCAACUCUGGUUUUGGAUCCUUAUCUGGCGCUGGACGCCAAAUUUGGGCAGAAGGCUGGCGUUGAACGCCAGUUUACGUC